rnacentral:rRNA from 1 species
GGGCGGAAGCCUGAUGCAGCAACGCCGCGUGAGGGAUGACGGCCUUCGGGUUGUAAACCUCUUUUAGCAGGGAAGAAGCGAAAGUGACGGUACCUGCAGAAAAAGCGCCGGCUAACUACGUGCCAGCAGCCGCGGUAAUACGUAGGGCGCAAGCGUUAUCCGGAAUUAUUGGGCGUAAAGAGCUCGUAGGCGGUUUGUCGCGUCUGCUGUGAAAUCCCGAGGCUCAACCUCGGGCCUGCAGUGGGUACGGGCAGACUAGAGUGCGGUAGGGGAGAUUGGAAUUCCUGGUGUAGCGGUGGAAUGCGCAGAUAUCAGGAGGAACACCGAUGGCGAAGGCAGAUCUCUGGGCCGUAACUGACGCUGAGGAGCGAAAGGGUGGGGAGCAAACAGGCUUAGAUACCCUGGUAGUCCACCCCGUAAACGUUGGGAACUAGUUGUGGGGUCCAUUCCACGGAUUCCGUGACGCAGCUAACGCAUUAAGUUCCCCGCCUGG